GACUGGCCACCUGUAGUCUACGGUGUCCUGCCGUAAGGACCGAGACGCCGGGAUGAACUCCAGCACUCACGCGACGCUGCCUACGUAGGAUCAGAACCGUUAACGGCUCUGCGUAGGAUAAGCGGAUGGAUGAUUCAAAUCAGGCGAAGACUUUAUUUUGCGAUAAUAAAAAAAAAGUUUUGGGGAAAAAAGUAACAGUUACAAGGGAGAUAAACGGUGUCAAUGAAGAGCUUGAGAAAUAUGAGACGGGAUUUGUGGAGAACACCGAGAAAAAUCAAGAAUCUCUAUCUUACCACAGGAGGGCAGAAAUUCCUUGAGUACUGGACAGACUGUGACACAGUCAUGUUGACUGCAUGCAUAUUGAUAAUUCUGCAGCUAGAGCUUGAUCCGAUCUGCUGAGUCCACAGUCACCGCAGUAAACAGAUUUUGAAAUGAAUUCAGUGUGACCUCUCUGACCUCUGUGACCUGUUAUCACCAUGGUGACCGUCCUUUAGCGAGCGCCUCAUCAAUCAGACGCAGUGACAGCUCAUCUGUCCCCUGCAGUGCACUCACCAGGGCCUCCAGCCAGAUGUUUGUGCGACAGGAGAAACGGCUCCUCCGAUCAAUGGUAACAGCCUUGGAUUUUGGCUGUAGGUGCUGAAGCAGAAUUCUUGGCCUCAUCCAGACGAUGAGAUUAAUCCCUCACAGCACGUGCUCUCUCCCAUUCACUUCCUCCGUGUUCAACAAGAGACACACGUCAGGCUCAUGGCGUUAGCAUGUUUACUGGAGAGUGACUCUUCCUCAAUCUCACCUCAAUCCACUAUCAAACCCACCUUUAAACAACACAAGAGGUGUGUUAUGGCCGGUCCUGCACCCCUCUGCUGCUCAGGAUGAUGUGACAGCCCUCCAUCCAUCAUGCUGAGAGGGGCCGAUCCAUGAGAGGGUGAGGGGGUGUAUCUGAGGUAAUAUUCUCCCUCUUAAUUACUCUGGAAGGAUAAUGGCCCAGAUGACUUUGAGGAGGACCAGGACAGAACACAACAGAUAAACUGAUACUGGGUAUAAUCACUCUCGCAUUCAGUAUAAAGAAAUAUAUUUGGCCUUCAAAUGAACAGCCACAGAAGUGAGCAUAGGGUUCUAAAUUAAUAAUGUAGUGAAAACUGUGGGGGUUGUUAUGAGUGACUUUUCUGAACUCAGCAUUUCUGUUUAAUUUAUUUAUUUAUGUGAGGACAUGCAUGUGUAGUUUGGUUCUAGUGCAUAGCAUGAAUGAACACUGCUUUACUGAGCCUGGUGUGUGUGUGUGUGUGUGUGUGUGUGUGUGUGUGUGUGUGUGUGUGUGUGUGUGUGUGUGUGUGUGAGUCUGUACACUUUCGAGGAGGUCUCUUCAUUACUGCCACUCCCCUGCACUUCCUCAGAUAAUCCCCACACCCUGCGGAGACUACAGGAGAACUGGCAGAAACACACACACACAAACACUCACGAUCUGUAUAGACACCACUUCCAAGCUGUAAAUCAACUCUAUAGGAUGUUGUAGAGCCUUUAUUGAAAAAUUAAGCAUUUUGCUCUCUUUACAAAGCCCUUUACUCUGAGAAUGAAAAAAGGAUUUACUCUGAAACAAUUGCUUGUAAAUUUCACAAAUAAUUACAAAGAAAUGGCAAGUAACACAUUGAAUUAAAGAUGACCUAUUAUGCAAAAUUCACUUUUAGAUAGUGUUUGAACAUAAACGUGUGUCGGCAAUGUGUGUACACAACCACCCUAUAAUGGUUAAAAUCCACCAAGUCCUCUUUUUUUUUUUUUUUUUAAAUCCCCAUAAAUCAAUGCGUAGACCCCGCCCACAACUGCUGAUGGACUCUUCCCUAUUAGCUUAGCUCCUCCCCUCAGUGAGCUGUACACGCGUGAAUUUUUUCCCCAAACUGUUCAGUGGAAAACCCCGCCCUGCAACCAAUUUAACUGGCUGAGGCUACAUUGACGGGUAGGUUUAGGGAUCAGGGUUGGGUGUAGGCAAUCGUUGUUGUGAUUAACAUGGCCAAUGAAAUGUUUAGAAUCGGCUCCAGGGCGGGAUUUCCGCUGAACUGGUUUGGGGGAAAAAAUCACGCGCUGUACAAAGUCCGCCACAUAUCUCCUCACCGGAGAUUUAACAGCAGCAUUUAAAUAAGAAAUUUAUUCUUAUUACAGCUACUGAAGUUAUUGAAUCAAGAGCAGUGAGUGUUCUUCUGUUUUUCUUUUGUUAAUUCAUAUUAACAGCAUAUAUAGUAAUAGGAAGUGUAUAUUAUGCUGCUUUCACUUUAAUACACAGAUCUAACAUGCGAUUGCUUGACUUGCUGUUUACCUUCACAGACAUAACCAACUGUGUUUAUGUGAACUUUGACAUAUCUUUGUGUAUUUGACAAUUUAAGCACAAUAGAGAAAGAGUUGAAAGAGAAAUUAGUUUAAUACUCACAGGACGCGCCGUCUGACAUCCAGCU